UACGGAGGGUGCGAGCGUUGUCCGGAAUCACUGGGCGUAAAGGGCGCGUAGGCGGCGCGGAUAGUCGGCGGUGAAAGCCCGGAGCUCAACUCCGGGUCGGCCGUCGAUACUUCCGGGCUUGAGCACUGUAGAGGCAGAUGGAAUUCCGGGUGUAGCGGUGGAAUGCGUAGAGAUCCGGAAGAACACCGGUGGCGAAGGCGGUCUGCUGGGCAGUUGCUGACACUGAGGCGCGACAGCGUGGGGAACAAACAGG
rnacentral:rRNA from 1 species